AAGGUUGACACACAGGGACUUUCCAAUUAUCCAGCAAUGGUACUGUUUCUUUACCCUCUCUUCGAUUUUUGAGAAAGUAGUCAUGUUGGGAGUCUGGCUCUCGAGAUUCGGAGGACGGUGCCUCUUCGAUUUUGGAGCAAGCAAUCUUGUUGGGAGUGUUUUCUCGAAUGUGAGUAAAGGUUGGGCAUGUUUUCUAGUCUACCUUGCCACGAAGCACAGAGGUUGACACACAGGGACUUUCCAAUUAUCCAGCAGUGGUACUGUUCCUUUACCCUUGUGGGUAAUAAUAUGGUAGCUAGACCUUCAAAAUUUAUGUGUCUAAACUUUGUUAGUGCUGUUUCUUUGCUAUUCUUUUACCUUUCUUGGUCAGAGCGAUGUAGUGGGAGCUGCAAGCUUCACGUGCUCAACUUUGGCAGAGAACUUUGGCAAAGUUAUCUGUGGUACCCAUGAGCUAUUGUUGCGUGUGGGAAGUGGGUGAUUGAACAGUAAGAUUCAUGUGCUUUCUACUUCACCAGAAGUCUUCGACAGAAUGCCCAUAAUUUCUGCAAAGCUAAGUGUGCGUGUGACAGGUGCUGACAAGGCUAGAAAAGUAGGUGCCUCUUCGAUUUCUGAGAUCGGCCCUCGUGGUCUCUGAGCAGCCCAGCUUUUGAGAAAGGGAGCGCCUCUUCGAUUGAUUCGGAGAACGAUGCCUCAUCGAUUUUUGAGAAAGCAAUCAUGCUGGGGGUCUAGCUCUCGAAGAUUCGGGGAGCAGUGUCUCUUCGAUUUUUGAGAAAGUAAUCAUGUUAGGAGUCUGGCUCUCGAGAUUCGGAGGGCGUGCCUCUUCGAUUUUGGAGCAAGCAAUCUUGUUGGGAGUGUUUUCUCGAAUGUGAGUAAAGGUUGGGCAUGUUUGCUAGUCUACCUUGCCACGAAGCACAGAGGUUGACACACAGGGACUUUCCAAUUAUCCAGCAAUGGUACUGUUCCUUUACCCUCUCUUCGAUUUUUAAGAAAGUAGUCAUGUUGGGAGUCUGGCUCUCGAGAUUCGGAGGACGGUGCCUCUUCGAUUUUGGAGCAAACAAUCUUAUUGGGAGUGUUUUCUCGAAUGUGAGUAAAGGUUGGGCAUGUUUGCUAGUCUACCUUGCCACGAAGCACAGAGGUUGACACACAGGGACUUUC
rnacentral:lncRNA from 1 species